rnacentral:rRNA from 1 species
AACGAACGCUGGCGGCAGGCCUAACACAUGCAAGUCGAACGCCCCGCAAGGGGAGUGGCAGACGGGUGAGUAACACGUGGGAACCUUCCCAACAGUACGGAAUAGCCCAGGGAAACUUGGAGUAAUACCGUAUAUUCCCGAGAGGGGAAAGAUUUAUCGCUGUUGGAUGGGCCCGCGUCGGAUUAGCUAGUUGGUGAGGUAACGGCUCACCAAGGCGACGAUCCGUAGCUGGUUUGAGAGAAUGACCAGCCACACUGGGACUGAGACACGGCCCAGACUCCUACGGGAGGCAGCAGUGGGGAAUCUUGGACAAUGGGCGCAAGCCUGAUCCAGCCAUGCCGCGUGAGUGACGAAGGCCUUAGGGUUGUAAAGCUCUUUUACCGGGGACGAUAAUGACGGUACCCGGAGAAUAAGUCCCGGCUAACUUCGUG